rnacentral:rRNA from 1 species
UAGCAUAUCAAUAAGCGGAGGAAAAGAAACCAACAGGGAUUGCCCCAGUAACGGCGAGUGAAGCGGCAACAGCUCAAAUUUGAAAUCUGGCCCCAGGCCCGAGUUGUAAUUUGCAGAGGAUGCUUUUGGCGCGGUGCCUUCCGAGUUCCCUGGAACGGGACGCCAUAGAGGGUGAGAGCCCCGUACGGUUGGACACCAAGCCUUUGUAAAGCUCCUUCGACGAGUCGAGUAGUUUGGGAAUGCUGCUCUAAAUGGGAGGUACAUUUCUUCUAAAGCUAAAUAUUGGCCAGAGACCGAUAGCGCACAAGUAGAGUGAUCGAAAGAUGAAAAGCACUUUGAAAAGAGGGUUAAACAGCACGUGAAAUUGUUAAAAGGGAAGCGCUUGUGACCAGACUUGCGUCCGGUGAAUCACCCAGCUCUCGCGGCUGGGGCACUUCGCCGGCACAGGCCAGCAUCAGCUUGCCGUCGGGGACAAAAGCUUCAGGAACGUGGCUCCUCUCGGGGAGUGUUAUAGCCUGUUGCACAAUACCCUUCGGCGGGCUGAGGUACGCGCUCCGCAAGGAUGCUGGCGUAAUGGUCAUCAGCGACCCGUCUUGAAACACGGACCAAGGAGUCAACCUUAUGUGCGAGUGUUUGGGUGUCAAACCCCUACGCGUAAUGAAAGUGAACGCAGGUGAGAGCUUCGGCGCAUCAUCGACCGAUCCUGAUGUUCUCGGAUGGAUUUGAGUAAGAGCAUAUAGGGUUGGACCCGAAAGAAGGUGAACUAUGCGUGUGUAGGGUGAAGCCAGAGGAAACUCUGGUGGAGGCUCGCAGCGGUUCUGACGUGCAAAUCGAUCGUCAAAAUG